UAAAAGGGUUGCUCCCCUCCAUUGUUGGAAAUGGGACAACGGAAAAGUCUCAAGAGCUUUUACCGUUGCGGUAUGGCUAUCAAGAACAUAUCGGCAGCAUAAUUUUUGGCUUUUUGGGCUGGUAGACUGGGCUCCCUUUUUCCGAGCUGUCGCCAGC
rnacentral:snRNA from 1 species